rnacentral:tRNA from 1 species
AGUUCUGUACUUUAACAAAAAGAUUUGAUUUGCAAUUAAAAAUUGAGUAACUUACUCCAGAACUG